GGAAGCGUGGCAGAGCGGUUGAAUGCAACGGUCUUGAAAACCGUCGAUGGGCGACCAUCCGUGGGUUCGAAUCCCACCCCUUCCGCCA
rnacentral:tRNA from 1 species